GUGAGAAAGAACCGCAGAUGAUAGUCACAUUACUUAUUGCACCACUGGAAAGAGAUGGAGUAACAUGAUGAUGAGGGCAGUAUAAGAACCUGAAUAAAAAGGCUGGGUACAGCACCUGCCUGCCCUAUGCAUCGACUUUCUCAGCUUGAGAUUGGGGAUGAGUAGCUCUCCCCCAAAAUGAUCUGAGUGCCUGGGGGAGGAUGGGUCUGAGAGUGCUUGGUGGGGGUGGGGAUGAUCUCUCCCGGGCUCUUUGUCCUUUUCUGGGCUUUCUUUGGCCAACAGUUCUGGCCUGGGGCAGAGAGGACUUGAAAGAUUUCCCCCAGAGAGCCCAAGCGCGAGCAUACCGGGCGGAAUGCAAAAUGUUUAGAAAAAACGGGCUGGGUUUGGUUUGUACAGACCCCAGGCCUGCCCUGGAGAGUGCGGGCGGGGGGCUGGAGAUGGGGCGAGCCUGCUGCCCCUGCUUCCUUGGCAGAGGGGGGGAAGGAAGGCGGCUCCUUUAAGGCCGGAGCUGCAGCUGCACUCACGCAGCAGUAGCAGCGACUGAGGCGCGCGAGGAGCGGCCACCAGGGCGAAGCCUCCUCUUGUUUCUCUGUCUGCGAUGCUGCCGCCAGAUGUUCCCGUAGUCUCCAGCCUGCUCGUCCUGCAGCCUCAGUUGCUCCCAUCCUAGCAAGCGCGGGAGCAAGGCAGCCUCCCAGGAGCGGGCACAGCAGCCUCCCGCCUGCUGGCCUAGGACUGGGCAGCCGGUCUGAAGGGCUCCGGACCGAAGAGCGCCGGGCGAGGCGCGCGGACCCCUCUCCAGCACGGUGACCCGCGCGCGCCUCUGGGGCGCAGCUGCUGGCAGCCCCCUUGGCUUCUCCCAUGCCUCGCUCUGCGCGCGCUCUGCGCCGGGGGCCGGGGCUCCGCACCAUGUCCCCCAGGUAAUGCCGGGGAGGGAGGCCAACCCCGCCACCUUCAGCGCCGCGACAGUCUAUGUGUGUGUGGAUGCGCCCCCCUCCCCUGCGCGCUGCGCGCAGCGUCCCAGCUCCUCCACCAUGUCCUUGGCGUUCUGUGGCAAUGAGAAUAACUCGGCCGCUUACAACGUGGAGAAAGGGGUGCUCAACAACGGCUGCUUUGUCGACGCGCUCAACGUGGUGCCGCACGUCUUCCUGCUCUUCAUCACCUUCCCUAUCCUCUUCAUAGGAUGGGGAAGUCAGAGUUCCAAAGUUCAUAUACAUCAUAGCACUUGGCUUCAUUUUCCCGGCCACAAUUUACGUUGGAUCUUGACUUUCAUCCUUUUGUUUGUGCUGGUGUGUGAAAUAGCAGAGGGCAUAGUGUCAGAUGGGGUUUCAGAAUCCCGUCAUUUGCACCUGUACAUGCCAGCUGGUAUGGCAUUCUUGGCAGCCAUCACAUCUGUUGUUUACUACCAUAACAUCGAAACAUCAAAUUUUCCAAAGUUAUUAAUAGCCUUGCUGUUCUACUGGACCUUAGCUUUUAUAACCAAAACUAUCAAAUUUGUAAAGUUCUGUGAUAAUGGGGUUGGAUUUUCUCAGCUUCGAUUUUGCCUCACGGGACUUCUGGUUAUUCUAUAUGGAAUGCUACUAUCUGUAGAAAUUAAUGUCAUCAGGGUGAGGAGAUACGUUUUCUUCAAAACCCCCAAAGAGGUUAAGCCACCCGAGGAUCUUCAGGAUCUUGGAGUUCGGUUCCUACAGCCCUUUGUGAAUCUGCUGUCCAAAGGAACAUACUGGUGGAUGAAUACAUUCAUCAAGACCGCCCAUAAAAAGCCAAUAGACUUGAAAGCCAUAGGCAAGCUGCCUAUCGCCAUGAGAGCUCUGACAAAUUACAUUCGCCUUAAUGAGGCUUUUGAAGCACAAAAGAACAAAAGGUCUCCAUAUCCACAAGGAUCCAAAUCAAUUUGGUGCGCUCUCUGCUGGGCAUUUGGGAGACCACUAGUUCUCAGCAGCACUUUCCGUAUUCUGGCUGACUUGCUUGGGUUUGCUGGUCCGCUCUGUAUCUCUGGGAUUGUUCACCACGUUGGAAAAGGAAAUAACACCAUCCGUCCGCAGAUUAAAAUUCUUGGUGUUUUCUUUAUCUCAUCUCAAGAGUUCCUGGCCAAUGCCUAUGUUUUGGCUGUCCUUCUAUUUUUCGCCCUUCUGUUGCAAAGGACAAUUCUCCAGGCAUCAUACUAUGUCGCCAUUGAAACUGGAAUUAACUUGAGAGGAGCAAUUCAGACAAAAAUAUACAAUAAGAUUAUGCAACUGUCCACUUCGAACAUGUCUAUGGGGGAAAUGUCUGCAGGCCAGAUCUGUAACCUGGUUGCCAUAGAUACAAACCAACUGAUGUGGUUCUUCUUCCUCUGCCCUAACCUUUGGGCUAUGCCUGUGCAGAUUAUUGUAGGUGUGCUUCUGCUCUACUACCUGCUUGGAAUCAGUGCCUUAAUUGGAGCAGUAGUGAUCAUAGUUCUUGCACCUGUCCAGUACUUUGUGGCAACAAAACUCUCACAGGCCCAAAGAAGCACAUUGGAAUAUUCCAAUGAGAGACUGAAGAAAACAAAUGAGAUGCUUCGGGGCAUUAAACUCCUUAAACUCUAUGCCUGGGAACAUAUCUUUCACAGCAGUGUGGAGGAAACCCGGCAAAAGGAAAUGACCAGCCUUAAGGCCUUUGCUCUCUAUACCUCCAUAUCAAUUUUCAUGAAUGCAGCAAUACCAAUUGCAGCUGUACUUACAACAUUUGUGGUCCAUGCCCACCUGACUGGAAAUGCUGACUUCUCCCCAUCAGUGGCCUUUGCCUCACUCUCCCUCUUUCACAUUCUUGUCACCCCGCUGUUCCUGCUCUCCAGUGUGGUCAGAUCUACUGUCAAAGCUCUGGUCAGUGUGCAGAAACUGAGUGAAUUUUUGUCAAGUGAAGAAAUUGGAGAAGAGCAUGAUAAAUGUUCAGAGCCAAGAUGUGCAGACAACCACAGCAAAUACCAGGUGGUUCCCCUCAAAGUUGUUAACCGUAAGAGGCCUGCCAGAGAAGACUGGAACAAUUACAACUCUCACAUGAGAAGACCUGUUAACAUCACAGAAGGAGAUGAUUUUUGUGUAAAGAUCACAAAUGGAUUUUUCACCUGGACGCCUGAAGGAUCUGCGACAUUGUCCAACAUUGAUAUCCGAAUCCCUCAAGGUCAGUUAACAAUGAUCGUAGGACAGGUGGGCUGUGGUAAGUCUUCACUCUUACUAGCGACACUUGGGGAGAUGCAGAAGACUUCCGGGAAUGUAUUCUGGAACAGCAGUAUUCCUGACAGCGAGACAGGGGAAGAUGUCAGCCCAGAGAAGGAAACCGCUGUUGACACGGAAGUCAGGAAAAGAGGAUCAGUGGCAUAUGCCUCACAGAAACCAUGGCUGCUCAAUGCUACUGUGGAAGAGAAUAUCAUUUUUGAAAGCCCCUUCAACAAACAAAGAUACAAAGCAGUGAUUGAUGCUUGCUCCCUUCAGCCUGAUAUUGACAUUCUUCCUCAUGGAGACCAAACCCAGAUUGGAGAGAGGGGUAUCAAUCUUUCUGGAGGGCAGCGCCAGCGCAUCAGUGUGGCAAGAGCACUUUACCAGCAGACAAAUGUUGUGUUCCUAGACGAUCCAUUUUCGGCACUGGAUAUCCACUUAAGUGACCAUCUUAUGCAGGAAGGGAUCCUGAAAAUGCUAAGGGAAGACAAGAGGACCAUUAUCCUGGUCACCCACAAACUACAGUACCUGCCACAUGCUGACUGGAUCAUUACAAUGAAGGAUGGUACCAUUCAAAGAGAAGGGACACUCAAGGACAUUCAGAAAUCAGAGUCUGAGCUCUUUGAACACUGGAAAACACUCAUGAAUCGACAGGACCAAGAACUGGAGAAGGAAACUAUAAUUGAAAGAAAACCUGUUUUGGAGAGGAAGAACCUCAGGAGGACCAGGUAUUCCCGAGAAGCUCUGCUAAAAGAUGAUGAAGAGGAUGAAGAAGAAAUAACAGAAAGCGAUGAUGAUGACAACCUAUCUUCUGUGCUACAUCAGAGAGCAAAGAUGCCUUGGCGAGCCUGUGGGAAGUACCUCAGCUCAGCAGGGAUUCUGCUCUUGCCUUUACUGGUCCUUUCACAGCUCUUAAAACACACAGUUAUGGUGGCUAUUGACUACUGGCUUGCACAGUGGACAUCUGAUGUCAUUUCUGCAAAGAGUGACGUAGAACAAAAGAAUUGUUCUGCAUGCCAGGAAUUUAAUCAUUCUCGCUAUUCAAGGGUGUUCAGCAUUCUCUGCUGCCUUGGGAUUAUAUUGUGUCUUGUCACGUCAAUAGCAGUGGAGUGGACUGGUCUAAAAGUUGCCAAAAAACUACACUAUUGUCUGCUGAAUAAAAUUAUUUUGGCACCAAUGAGAUUUUUUGAAACAACACCACUGGGAAGCAUCUUGAACAGAUUUUCAGCUGAUUGCAACACCAUCGACCAGCACAUUCCUGCUACCCUGGAGUGCCUGAGCCGCUCCACUUUGCUGUGUGUAUCCGCUCUUGCUGUAAUCUCCUUCGUCACGCCAAUGUUUCUCAUUGCCCUGCUUCCUCUUGCUAUCAUAUGUUAUUUCAUCCAGAAAUACUUUCGAGUGGCCUCAAGGGACCUGCAACAGUUGGAUGACAGCACCCAGCUGCCAUUACUUUGCCAUUUUUCAGAGACUGUGGAAGGUUUAACCACUAUACGAGCUUUCAGGUAUGAAGGCCGGUUCCGACAGAAGCUUCUUGAAUAUACAGAUUCCAACAAUAUCGCUUCCCUUUUCCUUACAGCUGCCAAUCGCUGGCUGGAAGUCCGCAUGGAAUACAUUGGAGCGUGUGUGGUUCUCAUAGCAGCUGUGACUUCUAUUACCAAGUCCCUGUACAAUCAGCUGUCUUCAGGACUUGUGGGCUUAGGGCUAACCUAUGCUCUUAUGGUGUCUAAUUACCUGAACUGGAUGGUUCGUAACCUGGCUGAUAUGGAGAUCCAGCUGGGAGCAGUGAAAAGAAUCAAUGGCCUUCUAAAAACAGAAGCUGAAAAUUAUGAAGGGCUCCUUUCUCCUUCGCAGAUUCCUCAGAACUGGCCUGCCAGAGGUGAGAUCCAAAUACAGAACCUGAGUGUCCGGUAUGACAGCAACCUAAAGCCAGUCCUAAAGCACGUCAGUGCUCACAUUUCUCCAGGGCAAAAGGUAAAAGAGCGGAGAUGAUUUGAGAAAUGACUCUUUUCCCAGUCAGACCAGCUUGUAAUAGAAACCAUAGAGUGAUUGGAAUCUGUGGCAGAACAGGCAGUGGGAAAUCCUCCUUCUCUCUUGCCUUUUUCAGAAUGGUUGACACCUUUGAAGGUAGGCUCACACCUGUUCCCUCCAAUCAGGGUUAGCUCCCUGAGGAAGCAACUUUGAACCUUCUUCAUCUGACACUAGCAGCCAUGAAUUACAAAGACCAUAAAACUGUGCUAGUCAUUGUUGCUGGGCUUAUUUCAAGUAAGGGAUCAUCUGUCUUUCAUCAGCUUCUGCCUUAUUGAUAACCCAGGUUGAUAUAAAAUCUCAUUCAACGUGAUCAGUGUUUUCUAACGCCAUGAGCAGCCUCAGGCAAGUGUUUCCAUUAAAAAUAAAAAAGGACUUCAAACGUGUAUUUUUUAAAAAAUCCAUAUUCUGUGUCAAUAUUGAUUUCCUAUAAGGCCUGAAUCUGCUCCUUUUGAAGUCAAUAGCAAAAUUCCCAUUGACUUCAGAGAGAGCAGGAUUGAGCCUUUAAUUUACAGUUAUUUCCAAAAGUAGACUUGCAUGUCUCCACAUCCUUUAUGCCCUGCUCUAGAACUUCACAAACAAACUCUUCCUGACAUUUUCACAUGGGGAGGAGAGGGGAGAAAGAACCACUCAUGAUAGAGGUUAGUCACAUCACUUAAUGCACUUCAGGAAGGCACUUGGAUAUGGUUGUGAUGGAGGGGCUAUAAGAACCUGAAUAGAACAGAACAGAAUUGGAUCCCUCCGUAGCUUGAGGCAUGGACAACUCCUGGACGGCAUAUAGAGUGUGAACCCUUAGAGACCUGAAGGGAAGAAGUUUCACCUGCGCUUGCCCUCCUCAACAAAUGCAAUUUAGCUAUGUUCUCCGAUAUCUGAUCAUUUAUUCUGGGUUAUUAGACAUCUUGCAAAUCAAGUAUAUCAUUAUUUGUGUGGCUCUGACCUCUUCCAGGUCUCUCUGCAUGCAUCCCUUAGGGUGCUAGGCUUUUGCCUGUUCUGGAGUGGAAUCCCCCGAUUCUCCCACUUUCAGAGUGGCCCCAAGGCUACAAUAACUCGAGUACCAACUGUGAUUGUUCAGCAGGUCUGACUAGGUCCAGCUACCUGGAAGUCUUUCUUCUGGGAGCCGUGACCAGUGAUGUAUACAGUGAUCCACUACAGCCGUUUCAAAACAAAGCAUUGUUUAAUCACAGGAACAAAGCCCAACAAGAGAAAAAGGAGCUUAACACAAUAAAAGGUUUACACACAUACCUACCUGACCUAAAGCUUAUGUAGGUGGAGCUUAACCCAAACAUCCCAGAGAGUGCUGGGGAGCAGACUGAAACCCUAGAGGUUGGCGGACGGGGUUUCAGUCUGUUCCCCAGCACUCUCAUUCCCUGUGCUGCAGGGACAUCUCUUUAUCCUUUCUGAAAGUUCUUUGUUCCAGUUUGCUGCCUGUUUUCCCACCCCACCCUUGCCAAGCCAGACUGUUCAACUCAUCAGCAUAGCUGGAUGUAAAACUUCAAAGUGAUUGAUACUUGCAUUGUCCAUUAAAUAUGGUAAAUAGGGCUGUCUGAACCUAUUGUCCCCUUUCCUGUGUGCCUAACCUUUGCUUGAAUUAACCCCUUGUAAUCAUAUAGCAAACAACACAAUAAUCAUCAAACAAACAGAUGGGAUAUAUAAUAUUCAUAAAAUAUAACAGGCAUCUUCCAUGAUGUAGUCUCAAGGGAAUUGCACUUUCUGCUUAGCAGUAACUCGUUUCACUGGUGAAUAAAGUAAUAUGUACCCCAAGGGUUAGUCUUGCAUGCUUCUCUGUAAUAUAAUGCAAACUAAAAUCAAGUUGUGUUGUUGGUUGCUAGCUAUAUGAUGUCUAGCAGACUCUCAAUGUUCUUUUGAAUAGGGAGGAUUAUCAUUGAUGGCAUAGACAUUGCAAAGCUCCCUUUACAGACGCUAAGAUCCAGGCUGUCAAUCAUUCU